UCUUAGUGCUUGACUAUGUCUGGAAGAGGAAAGGGCAGUGGGAAAGCUCGCUCCAAGGCGAAGUCUCGGUCGUCCCGGGCUGGCCUGCAGUUCCCGGUGGGCCGUGUUCACAGGCUCCUGAGAAAGGGUAACUAUGCUGAGCGUGUGGGUGCCGGGGCGCCGGUCUAUGUGGCUGCGGUGCUGGAGUAUCUGACGGCUGAAAUCCUGGAGCUGGCCGGCAACGCGGCCCGGGACAACAAGAAGACCCGCAUCAUCCCCAGGCACCUGCAGCUGGCCGUGCGCAACGACGAGGAGCUCAACAAGCUGCUGGGAGGGGUGACCAUCGCUCAGGGCGGGGUGCUGCCUAAUAUCCAGGCCGUGCUGCUGCCCAAGAAGACCACCGCUGCGGGAGCCACUAAAAAGUGAAGAGACCAUUCUUGAAUCUGACAACCCAAAGGCUCUUUUAAGAGCCACUCACAGCAUCUGUGAAAGGAGCUAAACUCUGUCGGAUUGAUUAUUUUUCCUUUAAUGUGGAGAGCCCUCGCCUUUGUACCGGACAUCAAUGAAUUCCACACUCCAUUUAAUUGGAUACUGUUGCUGUCCGUUAUCAGAGGACGAAUUUAUCAUCAAAUGUCAUUUUGAGUGUCCUGAAAUUAUAGGAUUUUCUUAUUGAAUGGUCACUGCCUGAGUGAUCUCUGUCUUCAGUUAUAGACUGGCGACAUGAACGUCUGCGAUCUGGUUUGACCUCACAUUAGAUUCACAUUUCCUUUAAGUGCAGUAGGAAGAGCUGGGUUGACCCAGUGCAGUAACGGGUCAGUCGCUGCAGAAUACAGUAAGGACCCUCUGCGCUUUAUUCUCUGCUCGGUUCAUAUUCAGUCUUUUAUCCCCUGUCUCUGGAGAGGGAGAGAGCAGAUUGAACAGCAGUGAGACAUUUUCAGCUUUAAGGGCGGGAAUGGGAUGAAGUGAAAUUGUCUGAACUUUAAUUUCGUAAUCGAAAAAGCAAUCCAGGUGUACGUGCUCAUUUAUUCUCCUCUGUAAAACUUGCUGCCCUUUUAUAUGUGAUGGCGGGCAUUUUCAACUUUGAAAAUAAGCUGUUAGUCUCUUGACGCCAUUUAUUCCUUUUCCCUCCUGCCUCCACCUCACCACAAGCCAUGUUAACGCAAAGGGAGUCAAUGAGGAGGUUAUUACUUGCCCGAAGACAAUUUGUAACCGCUGUCUGAACGGGCAGAUGGAAAGAACGCGCCAUUAAAACAUCCGUCGGCUCCCAGAAACAGAACUGAGCCGAGAAUGAUGCCUCGGAAAUAGGAAUACUGCAAUACGUAACAUUAAUGUCUGGAUUCUACAAUAAAUAAAACUAUUCAUGGCAUGGACAACAAAGUAUGCAUUGAUAUUACUAGAUAGACAGUUACUCACGAGAAAGAGGAUCGAAGGUUACGGGGAGCAGGCACAAGAAUAAGUUUGAGAAACAUUGACAGGACCGAAUGGCCAAAUGUUGUUUCUGCAUUUUAAAAGUCAUGAUGCAAUUCUUUACAUGGAAUAACUAGAUUACAGUAGUCUUGAAUUGCCGAAUAGCUUAUUAUCUACACUGUAGGAAUACUUGCAAUUAUGAAAUCAUUGGCUACCGUAAACAGCAAUAAAGCGGAUCCACGGUGAAUGCUCUCGGAAAUAUGAAUACUGCAAAUUGAAACAUUGCAGUAACCAGCUGC